GAUGAACGCUGACAGAAUGCUUAACACAUGCAAGUCGAUUCAACUUACCUUCGGGUAUUGAGGAUGGCGGACGGGUGAGUAACGCGUAAGGAACUUGCCUCUUGGUCUGGGACAACUGUUGGAAACGACAGCUAAUACCGGAUAUUAUGAGAUUCUCGCAUGGGAAACUUAUGAAAGCUAUAUGCGCCAAGAGAGAGCCUUGCGUUCCAUUAGCUAGUUGGUGGGGUAACGGCCCACCAAGGCGACGAUGGAUAGCCGGCCUGAGAGGGUGAACGGCCACAAGGGGACUGAGACACGGCCCUUACUCCUACGGGAGGCAGCAGUGGGGAAUAUUGGACAAUGGGCCACAAGCCUGAUCCAGCAAUUCUGUGUGCACGAUGAAGGUCUUCGGAUUGUAAAGUGCUUUCAGUUGGGAAGAAGAAAGUGACGGUACCAACAGAAGAAGCGACGGCUAAAUACGUGCCAGCAGCCGCGGUAAUACGUAUGUCGCAAGCGUUAUCCGGAUUUAUUGGGCGUAAAGCGCGUCUAGGCGGAAAAAUAANUCUGAUGUUAAAAUGCGGGGCUCAACUCCGUAUUGCNUUGGAAACUGUUUUUCUAGAGUACUGGAGAGGUGGGCGGAACUACAAGUGUAGAGGUGAAAUUCNUAGA
rnacentral:rRNA from 1 species